AAAUUGAAGAGUUUGAUCAUGGCUCAGAUUGAACGCUGGCGGCAGGCCUAACACAUGCAAGUCGAACGGUAACAGGAAGCAGCUUGCUGCUUUGCUGACGAGUGGCGGACGGGUGAGUAAUGUCUGGGAAACUGCCUGAUGGAGGGGGAUAACUACUGGAAACGGUGGCUAAUACCGCAUAACGUCGCAAGACCAAAGAGGGGGACCUUCGGGCCUCUUGCCAUCAGAUGUGCCCAGAUGGGAUUAGCUUGUUGGUGAGGUAACGGCUCACCAAGGCGACGAUCCCUAGCUGGUCUGAGAGGAUGACCAGCCACACUGGAACUGAGACACGGUCCAGACUCCUACGGGAGGCAGCAGUGGGGAAUAUUGCACAAUGGGCGCAAGCCUGAUGCAGCCAUGCCGCGUGUAUGAAGAAGGCCUUCGGGUUGUAAAGUACUUUCAGCGGGGAGGAAGGUGUUGCGGUUAAUAACCGCAGCAAUUGACGUUACCCGCAGAAGAAGCACCGGCUAACUCCGUGCCAGCAGCCGCGGUAAUACGGAGGGUGCAAGCGUUAAUCGGAAUUACUGGGCGUAAAGCGCACGCAGGCGGUCUGUCAAGUCGGAUGUGAAAUCCCCGGGCUCAAC
rnacentral:rRNA from 4 species